rnacentral:rRNA from 1 species
GACGAACGCUGGCGGCGUGCUUAACACAUGCAAGUCGAACGGAAAGGCCCUGCUUUCUUGGUGUGCUCGAUUGGCGAACGGGUGCGUAACCCUUAAGUAACCUCCCCUUGACUUUCGGAUAACUUUAGGCAACUGGGGCUCAUACCGGUUCGGCGCUCCUUCUGCAUGGUGGGUGUUGACACGUUUCGGCGGUUGGGGAUGUACUAGAGGCUUAUCAGCUUGUUGGUGGAGUAGUGGCUUACCAAGGCUUUGACGGGUAGCCGGCCUGAGAGGGUGACCGGGAACAGUGCGACUGAGAUACGGCACAGACUCGUAAGGGAGACAGGAGUGGGGAAUAGAGCACGAUGGGGGGAAGUCGGAUGAAGCAAGGCCGCGUGAGGGAUGAUGGCCUUCGGGUAGAAAACCGCUAUAGGAGGUGACGGAGCGUGAGUGACGGUAAUGGAUAAAGAAGCACCGGCUAACUACGUG